GAAGUUACUGAUGGAGUCUCCCUUUUCUCUGCCCUUUUAACCUCUCUUUCACACACACACACACACACACACACACACACACACACACACACACAGUGAGGCCUCUCAUUCAGUAACAGGCAUUUUUCCUUUUGACUUCUCUGAAUUCUAGUCUUUUUUAUUUAGUGUGUGUGUGUGUGUGUGUGUGUUCGGUUGUCAUGCCACAACUGCUCCUAAUUGGCUGUACACACAAACAGAACACAGUUGGGAACACCUUUUUGUCACAGAACACACACACACACACACACACACACACACAAUUGCUAUACAAAGACAGAACAGACACACUUGUGUGUGUGUGUGUGUGUGUGUGUGUGUGUGUGUGUGUGUCAUGCUACUGUUUGCGCUCAUUACCGUGUCUGUUCUCCCAGCAUGCACUUCUUUCGUGUCCAUCUGAAAAAUUUUAAUGGAUACCUCUAAACCAAGGCGUGUGUGUGUGUGUGUGUGUGUGUUCUCCAGUGAAAUAACUGGAGAAACCAUUUUCUUUGCUCUAAAAUUAAUAAUUGGCAUUACAGAAACUUACAAAAAAAGUGCUAAAAUUAUUGACAUGACUAAAGAACAUUAAAGAAGAAGCUCUGGUGGUUUUCUGGGAUUGGGGGUUUGAACAACCCUGAAAUAUUUAACACACUGUGUGCAGUAACCACAUUGUAGUGAUGUUAAUAAAUCACUAGUGAUGUCAUCAGUGCAGUUCCUCCUUAUUGAACUGCUCAGACAUUGAAAUACGGUGCCUUAGUUUGUAAUUGGCUACUGCUGAGAAACAGGAUUAACCAAUCACAAUCAUGCAUUAUUCCCAUUUCUGUUUGAAAGCUAUGAGCAUAGCUAGCUACACUGUGAGCUCCGCGAUAUCGAGGUGAUGGCUGGUGUUAAUAUUUAACAGCAGCUUUAAUAUUUGGUAAAUCCUUCCCUGGAGAGAGCGACAGUGCUGAGUGUCUUCCUCUGAGCUUUAACAAGUGCAGAGAAUCUUUCAGAAGCUUUCAAGCUGCUUUAUAUUCAUAGGUUUGAGCAGCUAACUCUCUCCAUCGCUGUCCCUCGCCCUCUGUCCUCUCACUGUCCCAGUGGUGGUAGACGGGGUUAGGGUAGAGGCUUUAUUCAGCUUGAGGAUGAAUGAGGACUUUCUGCAAAGUGACAUCUCUGCAGCAGAUGUCACUUUUACUAAUGAUAAAAUAAAAUAAAUAAAGAAAAUGGGAAAAGGAAGGUGCGAGAAAGAAGGAAUGAAGUAUAAAUGAAGGGUAAAAGAGAAGAAAGAAAGGUUAAGGAGAAAAAAUAAACAAUGAGAGAGAUAGAGAAAGAGAGAGAGAGAUGAGAUGCUUCCUGUCACGCUCUGUCAUUACAGUGAGUUAAAGGACAGCGUUGUGAGUGUGUUAAUUGGGAAGGGUGAUACACACUCACUUUAACCCCGUCACACACACUUAACCACGUCUCCCUCCUGUCUGCCUUCAUAAACCUCAGCACCCAUCCCUCACCACUGUGUGUGUGUGUGUGUGUGUGUGUGUGUGUAAUGAAGGUGUUUGCAUGUGCACACUUGUGAACAGGUGUUUUCUCUCCAUUUCCUUGAAAAGUGUAUAUAUGAAUACUAAACUCUGUUUGCAUAUAUUUGCAUAUGACUGAAUAUUCAAUGAGCUCUUAUUUGAUCUGUGCUGUAUAUUCAUAUCCUGCAGCAGCCUGAAGACUUUACAAACCAUUUAAAGUGUGUGUGUGUGUGUGUGUGUGUGAGACCCAAGAGUCAAGAGCCUUGUGUCUGUCUAUCUGUCUGUCUUCCUGUCUAUCUGCCUUUCUGUCUUUAUCCGACUUAAUUAAAUUGAAAUUUAAUUGAAUGCGUGUCUUGCUCUCUCUCCAUGUCUGACCCUCUGUCUGACUGUCUUUCUGUUUGUUUGACUGUCUGUCUAUCUGUCUUUCCAUCUGCCUGACUGCCUGUUUGUCUUUUUCUGUCUCUCUGUCUGUCUGCAUAGCUGUCAAUCUCUCUGUCUGUCUCUCUAUUUGUCUGUCUCUGUGUCUUUUUUUGACUCUUUCUUUGUCUGACUGUCUAUGUGACUGUCAGUCUGUUUGUGUGUCUGUCUGUCUAGAUAUCUGUCUAUAUAUGUCUGUUUAUCUGUCUGUUUAACUGUCAAUUUAUCACUCUUUCUGUGUCUCUGUGCCUGUCUAUCUAUCUAUCUAUCUAUCUAUCUGUCUAUCUGUCUGUCUUUCUGUUUGUCUGUCUGUCUGAUUGUUUAUCUGUCUGUCUGUCAAUCUGUCUGUUUGUCUGUGUGCUUAUCUGUCUGUCUGUCAAUCUGUCAAUCGGUCACUCUGUAUCUCUGUGCCUGUCU